UACGUAGGGAGCAAGCGUUGUCCGGAAUCACUGGGCGUAAAGCGCGCGUAGGUGGCUUCGUAAGUCCGUUGUGAAAGUCAAAGGCUCAACCUUUGAAAGCCGAUGGAUACUGCGGAGCUAGAGUACGGAAGAGGCGAGUGGAAUUCCUGGUGUAGCGGUGGAAUGCGCAGAUAUCAGGAGGAACACCAAUAGCGAAGGCAGCUCGCUGGGACGUUACUGACACUGAGGCGCGAAAGCGUGGGGAGCGAACAGG
rnacentral:rRNA from 1 species